rnacentral:lncRNA from 1 species
GAUCAAUGCCACCUCACCAUGGGUGAGAGACCUCUGUGGACAGAGGACGACAGAUGCCUGUGAACAGCUUUGUGACCCAGAAACUGGGGAGUGCAGUUGUCACGAAGGUUACGCCCCUGACCCAGUCCACAGACAUCUAUGUAUCCGAAGUGACUGGGGUCAAAGUGAAGGACCUUGGCCUUACACAACACUGGAGAGGGGUUAUGAUC